UAGAGACUGGCCUCUUC
rnacentral:misc_RNA from 1 species